ACAGGACAGCUGGAUUCCUCAGAUGGAAAUAGAACUUCGAGACAGGAUCAGAUGAGUGUCUUCUCAGGUGGUCUGACAACCAUCAUUUGGAGGGAGAAGGUGUUUUGAAUAUAGCAUCCUUGGCGGAAGCCAGGGAAUGGAUCUAAGAGCUUCAGUGAUUCUUCUACUCCUUUUGGUUAGGCCACCACAUGAAAGACCCAAUAGGAGCAUAAAGACACAGUAAUAUGUGUGGAACACAGGGAAAGGUCACUGCUGCAUGUGAAUUCAUUUUUUAAAUAAUUCAACAAACUGU